UCAGCAGGGCGACGAUCCGUAACUGGUCUGAGAGGAUGAUCAGGCACAGUGGAACUGAGACACGGUCCAUACUCCUACGGGAGGCAUCCGUGGGGAAUAUUGGACAAUGGGCGAAAGCCUGAUCCAGCCAUGCCGCGUGUGUGACGAAGGUCUUCGGAUUGUAGAGCACUUUACGUUGGGAUGAAGGGCAGUAAGCUAAUACCUUGCUGUUUUGACGUUACCGACAGAGUAAGCACCGGCUAACUCUGUGCCAGCUGCCUCGGUAAUACAGAGGGUGCAAGCGUUAAUCUGAAUUACUGGGCGUAAAGCGCGCGUACGUGGUUUGUUAAGUUGGAUGUGAAAGCCCCGGGCUCAACCUGGGAACUGCAUCCAAAACUGGCAGGCUAGAGUACGGUAGAGGGUGGUGGAAUUUCCUGUGUAGCGGUGAAAUGCGUAGAUAUAGGAAGGAACACCAGUGGCGAAGGCGACCACCUGGACUGAUACUGACACUGAGGUGCUAAAGCGUGGGGAGCAAACAGGAUUAGAUACCCUGGUAGUCCACGCCGUAAACGAUGUCAACUAGCCGUUGGAAUCCUUGAGAUAUUAGUGGCGCAGCUAACGCAUUAAGUUGACCGCCUGUAGAGUACCGCCGCGAGGUUUACACUCAAAUGAAUUGACGGUGGCCCGCACAACCGGUGGACCAUGUGGUUUAAUUCGAAGCAACUCGAAUAACCUUACCAGGCCUUGACAUGCCGAGAAUUUUCCAGAGAUGGAUUGCUGCCUUCUGGAACUCUGACUCCGGUGCUGCAUGGCUGUCGUCAGCUCGGGUCGUGACAUGUCGGGUCAAGUCCCGUAACGAGCAGCACCCUUGUCCUUAGUUACCAUCGACUUAUGGGGGGCCCUCUAAUGAGACUGCCGGUGACAA
rnacentral:rRNA from 1 species